CACAUGCAAGUCGAACGAGAGAGAAGGAGCUUGCUUCUUCGAUCGAGUGGCGAACGGGUGAGUAACGCGUGAGGAACCUGCCUCAAAGAGGGGGACAACAGUUGGAAACGACUGCUAAUACCGCAUAAGCCCACGGGUCGGCAUCGACCUGAGGGAAAAGGAGCAAUCCGCUUUGAGAUGGCCUCGCGUCCGAUUAGCUAGUUGGUGAGGUAAUGGCCCACCAAGGCGACGAUCGGUAGCCGGACUGAGAGGUUGAACGGCCACAUUGGGACUGAGACACGGCCCAGACUCCUACGGGAGGCAGCAGUGGGGAAUAUUGCACAAUGGGGGAAACCCUGAUGCAGCGACGCCGCGUGGAGGAAGAAGGUCUUCGGAUUGUAAACUCCUGCUGUUGAGGAAGAUAAUGACGGUACUCAACAAGGAAGUGACGGCUAACUACGUGCCAGCAGCCGCGGUAAAACGUAGGUCACAAGCGUUGUCCGGAAUUACUGGGUGUAAAGGGAGCGCAGGCGGGAAGACAAGUUGGAAGUGAAAUCUAUGGGCUCAACCCAUAAACUGCUUUCAAAACUGUUUUUCUUGAGUAGUGCAGAGGUAGGCGGAAUUCCCGGUGUAGCGGUGGAAUGCGUAGAUAUCGGGAGGAACACCAGUGGCGAAGGCGGCCUACUGGGCACCAACUGACGCUGAGGCUCGAAAGUGUGGGUAGCAAACAGGAUUAGAUACCCUGGUAGUCCACACCGUAAACGAUGAUUACUAGGUGUUGGAGGAUUGACCCCUUCAGUGCCGCAGUUAACACAAUAAGUAAUCCACCUGGGGAGUACGACCACAAGGUUGAAACUCAAAGGAAUUGACGG
rnacentral:rRNA from 1 species